UGGGGAAUCUUCCGCAAUGGACGAAAGUCUGACGGAGCAACGCCGCGUGAGUGAAGAAGGCCUUCGGGUUGUAAAGCUCUGUUAUCGGGGAAGAACACACCGUAUGUGAAUAAUGUAUGGUGUUGACGGUACCCGAGGAGGAAGCCACGGCUAACUACGUGCCAGCAGCCGCGGUAAUACGUAGGUGGCGAGCGUUGUCCGGAAUUAUUGGGCGUAAAGCGCGCGCAGGCGGGAAAGUAAGUCUACUCUAAAAGUGCGGGGCUCAACCCCGUGAUGGGGUGGAAACUGCUUUUCUUGAGUGCCGGAGAGGAAAGCGGAAUUCCCAGUGUAGCGGUGAAAUGCGUAGAUAUUGGGAGGAACACCAGUGGCGAAGGCGGCUUUCUGGACGGUGUCUGACGCUGAGGCGCGAAAGCCAGGGGAGCGAACGGGAUUAGAUACCCCGGUAGUCCUGGCCGUAAACGAUGGGUACUAGGUGUAGGGGGUAUCGACCCCUCCUGUGCCGGAGUUAACGCAAUAAGUACCCCGCCUGGGGAGUACGGCCGCAAGGUUG
rnacentral:rRNA from 1 species